AAUUUCAAGAAAUCUCCAAAUCAAAAAGGGAAUUGAAGGAUUUUAGGAUGCAUGUAUCAAGAUUAUCAAUCUCCUAAGUGUUCUUCACUAUCAAGUCUGAGAUUGUCAGAUUCAUGAAGGAAUGAAACCUGGUUUGGAUAAAUAGUAUUUAAGAAAGCGCUUGGACAAUUCCAUGUUUACUUCAUAGAAUGCUUUACGAAUUUCUAUUAUAUGGUUUAAUUUGUAUGGUGUUAAUGACUAAUGGUUGGGUUGUACGUGGUGUUAAUGACUAAUGGUUGGGUUGUAGCGAAGUCAAGCAGACAUAGAUCGAGUUGAGAGCAAGGAUUGUACAGGAAAGAAAGGUCACAUAGUUUGUUUUAAAUUGGUCAUGAAGCAUUGAUAUAAUGUAACAUUGUGAAUCCUCUCUAAUGAACGUAUUACAAUUUGUAGUUGAGUCUUCAUGUAAUUAAUAUGAUUUUUUAAGAACGAAA